rnacentral:rRNA from 1 species
GCGGCAGGCCUACACAUGCAAGUCGAGGGGCAACGGAGUAAGUAGCUUGCUAUUUAUAGACGGCGACCGGCGGACGGGUGCGUAACGCGUAUGCAACCUGCCUUGAACAGGGGGAUAAUCCGAAGAAAUUUGGUCUAAUAUUCCAUAACACAUCGAGCGGCAUCGUUUGGUGUUGAAACCUUAGGGGGUUCAAGAUGGGCAUGCGUUGUAUUAGUUAGUUGGUGGAGUAACGGUUCACCAAGGCUACGAUACAUAGGGGGACUGAGAGGUUAACCCCCCACACUGGUACUGAGACACGGACCAGACUCCUACGGGAGGCAGCAGUGAGGAAUAUUGGUCAAUGGGCGGAAGCCUGAACCAGCCAUGCCGCGUGCAGGAAGACGGCUCUAUGAGUUGUAAACUGCUUUUAUGCCAGGUUAAAUCUGUCUACGCGUAGACAGUUGAAAGUAUGGCAAGAAUAAGGAUCGGCUAACUCCGUGCCAGCAGCCGCGGUAAUACGGAGGAUCCGAGCGUUAUCCGGAUUUAUUGGGUUUAAAGGGUGCGUAGGCGGUUUUUUAAGUUAUAGGUGAAAUCUGGUGGCUCAACCACCAAAUUGCCUGUGAUACUGAUGGACUAGCAAAUAGAUGCGGCAGGCGGAAUGUGUGGUGUAGCGGUGAAAUGCUUAGAUAUCACACAGAACACCGAUUGCGAAGGCAGCUUGCCAAUCUAUUUUGGACGCUGAGGCACGAAAGCGUGGGUAGCAAACAGGAUUAGAUACCCUGGUAGUCCACGCAGUAAACGAUGAUAACUCGUUGUCGGCGAUAUACAGUCGGUGACCAAGCGAAAGCGAUAAGUUAUCCACCUGGGGAGUACGUUCGCAAGAAUGAAACUCAAAGGAAUUGACGGGGGCCCGCACAAGCGGAGGAACAUGUGGUUUAAUUCGAUGAUACGCGAGGAACCUUACCCGGGCUUGAAAGUUAGUGAUAGAUGUGGAAACAUGUCUUCCCUUCGGGGCACGAAACUAGGUGCUGCAUGGUUGUCGUCAGCUCGUGCCGUGAGGUGUCGGGUUAAGUCCCAUAACGAGCGCAACCCCUAUCGUUAGUUACCAGCGAGUCAAGUCGGGGACUCUAACGAGACUGCCUGUGUAAGCAGAGAGGAAGGUGGGGAUGACGUCAAAUCAGCACGGCCCUUACGUCCGGGGCUACACACGUGUUACAAUGGUCGGUACAGAGGGCAGCUACCUGGCGACAGGGUGCGAAUCUCGAAAGCCGAUCCCAGUUCGGAUUGGAGGCUGAAACCCGCCUCCAUGAAGUUGGAUUCGCUAGUAAUCGCGCAUCAGCCAUGGCGCGGUGAAUACGUUCCCGGGCCUUGUACACACCGCCCGUCAAGCCAUGGGAGUCGGGGGUGCCUGAAGUACGUUACCGCGAGGAGCGUCCUAAGGCAAAAUCGAUGACCGGGG